CGGAAUCCCCUUUGGUUUAUUGGGAGGGGGAGCGGAGUCAUACCCGGUCACCUGCAGCUCGGGCAGCUGUUGUGUCUCCGGCGCCUCACCCCCGCCUCUCGCUGCUACUGGGGGGCUCCGCUGGGGGGAGCUGGAGCUGCCGGGCCCGCCGCUGUCAGGGGAAAUGGCCAAAGAAAAGCGACACACACAAAGAACAUGGCGAGGGAAGGAGGAGUCUGAGCCGACGGCAGCUGCGCUCCCCCGCCCGAAGGACGCUCCGGGGAGGGAGGACAAUGCCCAGCCCACUCUGGCCCAGCUGCCGCCCGGCUCCCGGGGGAGGGGGGCUGUUUUCCCAGGGCUGGGCGCCCCUGGUGUCUCCGCCCGCCCCACGCUGUAACAAACUACUCGCAAGUGCUACUGAACAGGACGAGCUGGAGUGAGAUCUGCAGCGACUGGUACUUUAACCCACCCUCGCCUGCUUUUUGCCCCCAGCCCUGGCUUACUUUGCACUGCAUACAGGAAUUUUCAGUUUUCUGGCAGGAACAAAAACGGGAGCAGGUAGAAAGAAAUUACAUGUAGCAACUAUAUUUUGAACUCCAAUGUCCUUUGAUGCCUGACACAUCGACAUUACUAUAUCGUUAUAAUUAGCUGAACGUGAGCUUAAGGAAGGCUUGAAAACAAUUUGAAGAGUUCCACCAGAAGUACUGAAGAUAGGAUCCAGCUGCUGAGUGUGCAACUUCAGGAAUAACCUUUUCCCCACUCCAAACUACUAGCCACAGCAACUUGCUAUUUCACAUUACCACAUGAAAAUUGCAUCCACUUCAUUGUUGAUGCUUCUGUCACAGAUCAUAGAUGCAGAGAAUCUUCUCUUAAUGGCCAGGCAGUGUGGUGGUCCCUGGUUCAGUGUGCAGCUUACAUAAAUUAUAAUGGAAGUUGAAAUAGGAAGAAUUGGGCCCAACAAGCACAGCUUCGUCAGAAGUUGAGCUGGCAUGAAGUCUUGAAACACAACUGUCAAACUGAUGGUGGAUAUCCUCUGGAGAUGCCAAGCUAAAUGUUCUUGUGGACUUUCCUCUACUAUUCCUCCCCUUUCACACACCAAGAAAGAAGGACAAAUCUUGAAUUAAAAAAAAAAGUGUAAGAAUUUUGUGGUAUAAAAAUGUAGUGGAUAUUUUUCUUCCAUUGACUUGAUGUCUGUAUAUUUCCUGCAGUUUUAGUUAUGAAGUCUUUACUUGGCCAGCUGAUUUGUGAUUCAUUCUUGAGAGCUCUGAGUGGCAGGUACUGUAAACAUCCUACACUCUCAGCUGUGGAAAGUAAGGAAGCUGGGAGAAGGCUGUUUACUCUCUCUGCCUUGGAAAGCAGCUGGAGGGAAGAGGAUGGAGAGUAUUGCAAGUUCAAAUAUGUCUCUGCUCUGAUCGUGUUGAUUGUAAUUCUGAAAACUUGCAUUUUGUAUUUUACAUUUUGGUGUCAGUAUACGAGUAAUGGAAUUAUGUAGUGAUGUGAAAUUUUAAUGAGAAAGGAACGUGAAAGCAGGGGUGUGUUAUUAAUAUGCUUCUGUGGCGUUGCUGGUAUAUGAGAGUGCUGAGUGGUAGCAAUUAAAACAGCAUGGCACUUACAACCUGAUGUGUGGGGUGUUUUUCUUUUUAAUAGAAUGACUCCAAGACAGUAGUUUUACUUUUUGCUCAUAAGUAUAAUGAAAAUUAAAAGUACUAGUGUAGCCAUCCUCUAGUACAGCGGUUCUCAACCCAAAGUGGGGCAGUCCUGGGGGCAGCUCCACCCUCCCUCUCCUCCUCUUCCUUCUCUCCCCCAAGCCCCCUUCAGGCCCUGCCUUCUGGCCAGGUCCUAGGCAGGAAGCCAGAUCCAGGCAGCGCAGGGCAGCUGCUCCUCUGGCUGGGGGUGUCAUGGAGCAGGCAGCUGUGGCAUUCCCCAUUCUGCUGCUGGUGCCCGGGGUUGUGGUUGCUCCUCAGCUCCCAGCCCCCUUGGACUGCUCACGCAGCCGGUCAGAGCUGCCCGGGCGGCUCCGGGUCCAGCAGAGCCCUCAGGGAAUAGCCACUGGCACACAGCCCCAGAUGGCUAGGUGGCCUGUUGCGGUGGGUCAGAGGGUAGAGGUGGUGCUCAUGCAUAUGACCAAGGAUUCCCACCACGGCCCGGAGCCCUGAGUUCACUCCCUGCUGGGCCCUGGAGUUUUUCUAGCAUGUUGAGGGAGGCUUCAGAAAGAAAAAG